UGGUCUGGUGUCUAUUGAUCAAGAAAAAGCUUUUGACAGAGUUGAACACAAUUAUUUGUGGAGUACUCUUGCAGCUUUUGGCUUUUGUCCCAAUUUUAUUAACAAAAUUAGAGUUCUUUAUUGUGACAUAGAAAGUAUACUUAAGGGUAAUGGUGACUUGUUCCUUUCAAAGUCCAUAGAGGGGUCAGACAGGGAUGUGCGUUGUCUGCCAUGUUGUACACUUAGGCAAUUGAGUCCCUUUUGGUAAAACUGAGACAGAAAUUAAUUGGGGUGAAAAUUCCAGAGUGUGAAAAUGUAUUUCAUUUGUCAGCCUAUGCUGAUGAUGUUGCUGUGCUGGUUAGUGAGCAGAGGGAUAUAAAUAUUAUGUAAAAAAUGUUGAUGAUUUUAAAAUAAUUUCCUUUAAAGUCGAAAGUACACUGGUUAAAAAGUGUCGCGGUGGCAGCCCGGCUGUUGGUGGGUGUCCUGUUUCUCCUUUCCCUCACAUUCUGGUUUCUCCUGUGCCCUCUCUCUCUCUGUGUGUGUGCUCUCUCCCUCCCUGCUCCAGAGCCCGGCUGGCUACCCACACCUGCACCUCGUUAACCUCCAUCCCCAGCUGCCGCACCUGCCAGCCAUCAGCCUCAUCACAACCAGUAUAUCUACCCCGGCUUUCCACUCCAUCCUCGCUCGAUUGUCGCAGCUGGUUCACUCACCUCUGCCUCCCAACUCGGCCAGCCGGGCUCGCUCGCCUGCCUCCUCCUCUCGCCGCCUCCACGACGCCCUCCGGCUUCUCCUCCCGCACCCCGCCUGGACCCCAGUCUCCGCGCCCUCUCCUAUCCGUCUGCCAGCCUCCCUCAAGCCUCCAGCCUAAGUGCCCUCCGUUCCUCCAGCUUCUCGGUUCCCCGUGUCCUCGUCAGCCUCUCCCCCUCCUUCCGCCCGCCCUCGCCUCGAACCCCCUUCUCCUCAAUAAACCUCUUUUUCUAACCCUCAGCGUUGCAUUUGGGUCCGUUCUGUCUCCCAUCGUUACAAAAAAGUGUAGCUAUGCUGAUUGGGAAAUGGUCAAGUGGAGAGCCAAAUUUUCCAGUUGGUUUAAAUUGGAUCAGGAGUGGUUUUAAAUAUCUUGGAGUUUUUGGGGGAAUGAAACAUACAUCCAGAAGAAUUUUGAAGGGGUUGUUGAAAUAUUAAAGGGCCGGCUUGAAAAAUGGAAAUUCUUAUAAUUCUUAUUAUCAACAAUUUGGUGGCAUCCUCCCUCUGGCAUUGGCUGGCUUGUGUGGAUCCUCCAGUACAACUGCUGUCAAAGAUACAGUCAAUUCUUUCUGGGAUAAUCUACACUGGGUUCCACAGAGUGCUUUGUAUCUACCUAAAGAAGACAGUGGGCAUAGACUGGUGCAUUUACAAAGCAGAACAGUUGUUUGUGCAACGUCUUCUCAUAGGAUCAGUGGAUUCUAAUUGGAAAUCUGUGGCUUGUGCCAUUUUACAGACUUUUGAUGGACUGGGACUGGACAGAACUUUGUUUUGGAUGGAUUCAAAGCAGAUGAAUCUCAGUAAAAUCCCUGUGUUUUAUUGUAAUCUUUUUAAAGUUUGAUCGCUUGCACCGAAAAAGAUGUGCUUGGUCACUGUACUGGUUAAGGAGCCUUUAAUUUAUGGUUCAGCUAUGGACAUCAUCUGUAAAGACACUUUUCCUAAUCUAAUGUUGUAAUCUAGUGUUUUGAUAACUUGGUAUUAGUAGGGCCAAAUCGGGCAAAUGGCAAAGCUUUAUAUAAACUCUGUGUAAAGUCUUUAAACAAAAAGUCUCUGGUCAGGAGGGUAGAUACACCCCGGCGUUCUGUUUUGCAUAUGGGGGAAGACCACAAGACCACAGUGGCGAGCACUAUACAAGUCAUUGUUAAUAAAAAAAAAAACUGGGGAUUUACAAUAGAGAAUUCUGCAUGGAGCAAUUGCAGUUAAUGCUUUUGUUUCUGUGUUGAAUCCUGUUGUGGGUCAAGGGUGCCCUUUUUGUUCAUUGAGGGGGACUGUGUUUCAUGCCUUCAUGCAGUGUGAGAGGCUAAAGCCUCUAUUUGUUGUUUUACAGUCACUUCUUGUUUGUAUUAAUGAAAACUUUUCAAUGAAGACUUUUAUUUUGUUAUAAAUAUGUGAGGAAGCUGCGUUUCAACUGAUAAACUCCUACUUGGACAAACAAAGAUCGCAAUUUAUGCUAGUCGUAACAAUAAAAUUGAGCAAUUGUCUAGUGA